rnacentral:rRNA from 1 species
UGGGGAAUUUUGCACAAUGGGGGAAACCCUGAUGCAGCGACGCCGCGUGAUUUAGAAGGCCUUCGGGUUGUAAAAAUCUUUUCUAUGGGAAGAAAAUGACAGUACCAUAGGAAUAAGGACCGGCUAAUUACGUGCCAGCAGCCGCGGUAAUACGUAAGGUCCGAGCGUUGUCCGGAAUCAUUGGGCGUAAAGGGUACGUAGGCGGGUAAGCAAGUUAGAAGUGAAAUCCUAUAGCUCAACUAUAGUAAGCUUUUAAAACUGCUCAUCUUGAGGUAUGGAAGGGAAAGUGGAAUUCCUAGUGUAGCGGUGAAAUGCGCAGAUAUUAGGAGGAAUACCGGUGGCGAAGGCGACUUUCUGGCCAUAACCUGACGCUGAGAUACGAAAGCGUGGGUAGCAAACAGG